AUACUUACCUGGACGGGGUGAAUGGAUGAUCAUGAAGGUCCAUGGCCUAGGUUAGUGACCUCCAUUGCACUUUGGAGGGGUGCUCGCCUAAGAUCUCCCUAAAGUGGGAGAGUCUACGUCAUAAUUUGUGGUAGAGGGGGUACGCGUUCGCGCGGCCCCUG
rnacentral:snRNA from 1 species